AGUAAAAAAUUUACAGUAGGAAAAUGUUUUGCGGUCGGUCGUUAUUUUUCGCGUUUUCUAUAUAAAGAGAAAAAUCGAUGAUUUCUUGACAAAAACGCUAAGAAAGAUCGUCGAUCAUGAGAGAAAAAUGGAAUUUUAUUUUGUACCUAGUGUGGUUUUCUUAUUUAAUUUUAUCAGCUAUUCUUAUGUUCGGUCAUGGUUUCUUGUUGUCUCGAAAGACGUUGAGCGAUGUUUCAGAGUGCGUGCCACUGAAUAAGUUCAACUGUGAUGGUCGGGAAAUAGGAAAUUCAACGUAUUAUUCGAGUUGCACGAAUGAUGUGAAGAUUCGUCGUAUUUUGGCGAACCCUGGAGUGCCAGUGGUGUGCGCGCCUACUCGGCAUAGAGUUCUGUUUGUGCUGGUGGAUGCGCUGCGGUAUGAUUUUACGGACUACGAUGAGGGGCUGGAGAAACCAUUGCAUUAUCAGAACAAGCUGCCGGUGCUGCGGGAGACGCUGGCGCGCUGGCCGGAGCGCACCCGCUUGUUCCGGUUCAUGGCGGACCCGCCCACCACCACGCUGCAGCGCGUGAAGGCGCUCGUCACCGGAUCGCUCCCGACGUUCAUCGACGCCAGCUCCAAUUUCGCAGCAAUGGAGUUGCAGGAAGAUAAUAUCAUUGACCAGGUUACAAAAAGUGGUGGGCGUGCUGUCCUUUUAGGAGAUGACACAUGGUCCCGUUUGAUGCCUGGGAAGUGGUUGCGGUCACAUGCUCAGUACUCCUUCCACACAUGGGAUCUUGACACCGUUGACUUAGAAGUGGACUCGAAAAUUUAUGACGAAUUAAAGAAAGAUGAUUGGGACCUCCUUGUUGCACACUACUUGGGGGUUGACCACGCUGGGCACAGGUACGGUCCCAACCACCCUGAGAUGGCACGGAAACUCAACGAAACCAACAACAGACUACAAAAGAUACUGAAGAUAUUGCCUCCUGACGUACUACUGUAUGUAGUCGGUGACCAUGGAAUGACAGACUCUGACUCACAAGAAUGGAAAGAUUCAAGUGGUGACCACGGAGGGGAAAGCCGGGCAGAGAGAACAGCUGGACUGUUUGCGUACAGAGGGCUAGGUCUGGGAGGGAAUGAGGCAGACAUAGAAACAGGCAAGGAGGUACAGCAGACAGACCUGGCACCGACAGUGAGCGCAGCCCUAGGCAGGCCUCCGCCCGCGCCGUCGCUAGGCAACCUCCUCUUUCCAAUCCUGCCAGCUAUGCCGUCCACUGAAACACUUCUGCUUGUUACCAAUAAUUUGAAACAGAUAACAAACUACCUCGUGCGUUAUGGAGAAGAAUCUCAACAAAUUCCUCUGGAGAAGCUCGCUCAAUUAAUUAACGCUACUAGGGACCAACUUAGUAAAUCGUCGGGAGUACAGACACCUGAUGACCUCAACAACUAUGUAUCUGAAGUUAGAAUACUCAUUGACAAUAUACGCAGCGUUUUUCGUGAAGUUUGGGUAGAAUUCGAUUCCCUUUCCAUGCUUAGAGCAUUGUUGCUCCUUCUAUUGGCCAUCUUCUUUAACUGGCUGAUCACUGAAGGCCUUCCCAUGGAGCGUCUGCCAAGCGUUUUCGCCAGCUCCUUCGUUCCUACAGGAUAUAUAUCAAUGGCUGUAUGUGUAGGACUUUGUUAUACUGGUUAUUAUAUGGAGAUUAUUGAAGAUUUAGAACAUGCUGUAAUAUUAAGCACCGGUUUAGUGUCCGGCGCAGUGAUAUGUACAUUAAUAAUAAUGCAUUGGGAUGGUAUUAGUCAGAGGUGGUACGAAGGAAGAUCUCUAUUUUAUGAGCGGUUUUCGCGAGCGGCUCUUGUUGGCUCGGCCGCUGUGUUAGCAUCAAAUAGCUACGUUAUUGAAGAGGGUGCGGGUCUCUCGUAUCUGACUCUGACUGUGUUAGCACUUAUGGCGUGGAAUGUGGGGACAGUGAAGGCGUUAGUUAUAUGGGUGGGAUGCGGUAUUAUUCUGGGACUCUCGCGGCUGUAUAGGGGUUGUAGAGAAGAGCAAGGAGAUUGUUGGACUUCGGGGGGCGGGGUGAAUAGUGGGCAGGCUUCGAGACUGGCGCUAGUACUGGCUCUGGGGUCAAUGGCCGCGGUCGUGGCGGUAGCCAGACGGCAUAUUGGCUGGCGCGGGCAUGGUAUUGUGUUGGCUGGAUUGUUUGCUUGCGCGCAUUGGGCCGUUGGUUGGGGCUCGUUGGGUUCGCCUGCUCGUUCGCGACUGUUGGCUCGGGGCGCUUGGCUGGUGUUGGCGGCGAUGUUCGCCCUUCUUUGGCGGAAGGAUAGGAGCGGUCCGACGUUACCGCUGAUAGCGUGCGGCCUGCUGUUGUACAUAGCGAACACGCUGGUGCUCGGAGCCUCGUUUGCACCGGCGGCGGCGCUUGCGCUGGUGUCAGCGUUCCUGGCGCUCAACAUGGUGUCCUCCUUGAAGAGUGACGGAACAAUUAAAUUCUCAAUAUCAACUCGGUGCAGUUCAAGCGUGGCUUGCCUGUGGGCGUUACUAGCGUCUUACCAGUUCUACGGCAUGGGCCACCACGCGACACUGGGCCACGUGCGCUGGUCCCCCGCCUUCCACGCCGGAGACCCCCACUACUUACCAGACUCGCCAUUCAAUGUGGCCCCCUACGUCACCGGGUCUCUGGUGUUCCUUGAUCUCUUUGGCAUGCCGCUGAUGUUCGGCGCGGCGGUGCCGCUGCUGGUGCUAUGCGGCCGCUCGCAGCUGGGUGCGCGCACGCAGCUCGCCGCUGUCUUCACGCUGUGCCUCAAGUUCGCGCUCUGCUUCGUUGUCAGGGUGUUCGCGUGCGCGAUAUCAGCAACAAUCCACUGCCGGCACCUGAUGAUCUGGGGCGUGUUCACCCCGAAGCUGCUGUUCGAGUGCGGCGCGUGCGCGGCCGCGCUGCUGGGCUGCGUGCUGGGCGCGGCGCUGGCGGCGCACCAGCUGCCCGCCGACCACCGCAGCAGUUGACACUGACGCAGUCACUGAUGGGGGCGCAGGGGGGAUGGAGGGGACAAAUUGUUUAGUUGAUGUUUUUAUUCGGUAUAUAGGCGGUCGCAUGAUAUAAGAAAACCAGGAAUGCUCGAUCCUAUGGCAAGCCGCCAUUGAUAGCCCUUUGAUGACGUAAGUGUUGCCAUUAAAAUGGUAUCUCCAACAUUGCAAGGAUGUAAAUUUUAUUAUUGAAAAUUAAAAUGAAUUUACUGACUAAUGUAUUUAAUUACUAUUACUUGUCUCAUAUAUAAAAAAAAUUGAACUGUAAAUAAAUAAUUUACUAAAAGUUCAAAAUUUCAUUGCAAAGUAAAUAUAAAAACAUUGGUCGUGGGUAAUUUAUUUAUUACGAAAUGGCAAUACAGGGCGGGAUGACGACAGCUGGGCUGACCUUGAAAUGUUAGCUGUCAGUUUCGAGCAUACCUGAUUUUCUUAUACCAUGGGCGGUCGAACGAAGCAGUCUGUGUUAUCAAGACAUAAUCUUAGAGUUUGCAAGGCUAGAGUGUAAUAAGUUGAUUGAGAGGCCUGUGGGACUCCAGGCCGUUUAUGUAUAAUUGCUGUUGGGUCAACUCAGCAGAGGACUGCAUGGCACAGACUGUCUACAUAGACGCGAUAUAUACCGCAAACUUCGAUCAUUCGAUCGACAAUGGUGCCAGUUUUGGCAGACACAAACUUAAUUAGUUUGACAGCUUUUAAACUAGUGCCGUCCUUCACUUACAAUAAGUACAAGAAAGAGAUGGAGCUAGUUUUAGUCCUGUCAAAUUAAGUUGACGGUUGCCCGAAUUGGCACCAUUCAGAGUUAAAAAAAAACACCUAUAAUUUUAGAAUUGACUAAUGUCAACUGUCUAGCUUCACAAAAUAUGACUCAUUUUAGAAGCUCGACGCUUAUUUAACUAGUUUACGAUUGAGUGCUUCCUCCAUUUUACUCUGGCUUGAUGUAAAUACUAUUGAAAAUCGACAAGUUUACCUUAUUCUUUAGUUUGAAUAAUAUUUUUCUCAUGUUUUGACGAAAUCUAAUGUUGAAAGGUCAGAUAGGUAGUCGCUUCUGUAAAAAAUCGGACCUGUCAAAGAUUCAGGUUAGGUAAGCGGACCCUGUGAAAAACGGGAUAAUGCUAGGGAGAU
rnacentral:misc_RNA from 1 species